CAGGCAACCGUGAUGUUCGUUGCUUAGGGGAGCCUGCGGCUUGGCCAAAUACCGAGGUGACACCAAUAUGAUGAGCGGCAAAAUGGCGUUUAUUAAGUUCUAACAAGCACUUAUAUAUCUUUUAACCCUUCGUGUACGCCCACUGGAUGGUACACGUGGCACGUACCUAACACAUAGGGAGGAGCCUGACACGUUACAUCCCGAGACCCCGAUCACGCCUAUUACAACACUUGGGGGAGAUGUGGU